ACUGGGAUUAGAUACCCCACUAUGCCCUACCGUAAAAUAUUUACUUACACUUACAACGCCAGGGCAUUACGAGCUUAGCUUAAAACCCAAAGGACUUGACGGUGUCCCAUCCAACUAGAGGAGCCUGUUCUAUAAUCGAUAACCCACGAUAUACCUAACCCCAUUUUGCAAAUCAGUCUGUAUACCUCCGUCGCAAACUUACCAUAUGAGUGCCUAUAGUAAGUUUAAUGGUCACACACCAACACGUCAGGUCAAGGUGCAACUCAUGAUGAGGUAAGCAAUGGGCUACAGUUUCUAAUAUAGAACAUACGAAAUGCUGUAUGAAACACAGACAUGAAGGCGGAUUUAGUAGUAAAAAUGAAUUACCAUGUCCUUUUUAAUGAGGCCCUGGGACGUGUACACACCGCCCGUCACCCUCUUCAAUAGUAUAAAAACGUUUUUUACAACCUAUUACAUUCUAGAAGAGGCAAGUCGUAACAUGGUAAACGUACCGGAAGGUGCGCUUGGAUCAUCAAAAUAUAGCUUAAACAAAGCCUCUCGCUUACACCGAGAAAAUGUCUGUGAAAAUCAGACUAUCUUGAACCAAUAACUAAGCCUAAUCUCAACUAAUGUAACACAACCACAAUAAACCCUAGAUAAAACAUUUUAAUAAUUUAGUAAAGGUGAUUGAAAGAUUUAUUAGCGCUUUACUAUAAGUACCGCAAGGGAAAAAUGAAAUAGCUUUGAAAUAGGCCUUAAGUAAAACAUAGCAGAGAUUAUCUCUCGUACCUUUUGCAUCAUGGUUUAGCUAGUCCUCUUCAAGCAAAAUGAAACAUCAGUUUGACACCCCGAAACUAAGUGAGCUACUUUUAAACAGCUCAAUGGAGCCAACCCGUCUCUGUUGCAAAAGAGUGGGAUGAUUUAUAAGUAGAGGCGAAAAACCUAUCGAACUUAGAGAUAGCUGGUUACUCAGGAAAAGAAUUUUAGUUCCACCUUAAGUUUUUACAUUACCCAUAAAAUCCCCAUAAACUUAAGAGCUAUUCAAAUAAGGCACAGCUUAUUUGAAAAAGGAUACAACCUAUAAGAAAGGGUAAAAAUUUCUUUAAAAGAACUAAGUGGGCCUGAAAGCAGCCACCUUUAAGAAAGCGUUAAAGCCCUUUUCUUUUUUUUAAUAAUACCUCUAAAUUUAUUAAACCCUUUACUACUACUGAGUGAUUCUAUAACCUAUAGAAGCCCUUAUACUAAAACUAGUAACAAGAAAUCGUAUUUCUCCAAAAUAUAAGUAUAAGCCAGAAUGGACCAACCACCGGCAAUUAACGUUGAUAAGACCACUGUAAUAACACAUCAAGAAAAUUCUACAGACAUAAACGUUAAUCUUACACAAGAAUAUUCCAGGAAAGAUAAAAGAAAGGAAGA
rnacentral:misc_RNA from 1 species